CCUACGGGAGGCUGCAGUGGGGAAUAUUGGACAAUGGGGGCAACCCUGAUCCAGCCAUGCCGCGUGUGUGAAGAAGGCCCUCGGGUUGUAAAGCACUUUCAGUGAGGAAGAACGCCUGGUGGUUAAUACCCAUCAGGAAAGACAUCACUCACAGAAGAAGCACCGGCUAACUCCGUGCCAGCAGCCGCGGUAAUACGGAGGGUGCGAGCGUUAAUCGGAAUUACUGGGCGUAAAGCGCGCGUAGGUGGCUUGAUAAGCCGGUUGUGAAAGCCCCGGGCUCAACCUGGGAACGGCAUCCGGAACUGUCAAGCUAGAGUGCAGGAGAGGAAGGUAGAAUUCCCGGUGUAGCGGUGAAAUGCGUAGAGAUCGGGAGGAAUACCAGUGGCGAAGGCGGCCUUCUGGACUGAAACUGACACUGAGGUGCGAAAGCGUGGGUAGCAAACAGGAUUAGAUACCCGGGUAGUC
rnacentral:rRNA from 1 species